ensembl:lncRNA
CGGGAUCCUGCCGACCGCUCGGUCUCUUCAUCCUGCGCGGCAGGGCUUGGGCUCAGGCGAAGCCUCCUCCGGGCCUCUGAGAACGUGGCGCCUCCGGGCGUCAGGCGAGGCGGGAUUACAAGAAUGGCGGCCGCUCCUGGUCCGCGGAGGCCUGUUAGAGCCCGGGGCCGGGAAGGACUACGGCGCCGGCGAGUCCACCCUUAGGCCUUGGGGCCGCGCGUAUCCGCGGUCUGGUGACCGCUGCCUCCUGGUUGGAUGAGACCUCACUUCGUCCGGACAGUGAGGGACAAAGGCCUUGGCGGGCCCUCGAGGCGAGCGGAACCGCGGUCGGUGACAAGUGGAGCUCUAGCGGGUGAUGGGACGGUGAGCGUCGUUCUGCCAAGCCCUUGAUGUCAGAAGACGGAAAUGGCAGAAUAAUGUACCCCUGUGGCCAGCAGAAAGUGCUCUUCGCCCAGCGGGAGGAUUUACUGGCCGUUGACAGAAGGCCUGUGUAUAUAAUACGGAAAAGCUGCUCCCAACUCCCCCGCCACCCCAGCCUUUCAGAAGAAAAUUUUCGCUGCAUCUAAGCCUCCUAGAUGUAAAGCCAUUGCCGACGUAUGAUAAACCAGUUAGAAAAAUCACAUGUCUUGUAAAUACCCAUUUGUUUAAAAAACAAACAAACAGUAGAAAAGAAAUGUCUUCUGGAAAUGACUUUUCGAAAUGGAGUUGUUUGAUUACCUCUAGAAGCAACUUCCAGAGCCACCGAAGUCCCCGUUUGUUCAGUGGGUUGGAGGACAUGGAAUGGAAGACCUUGGGGAGGAGGAAUAGAAAGUUCUCUGCCAGACUGGUCAUACUUAGAGGACAUUUUCAUAUAAGCAUUGUUUUGUGUGUGGAUUUCAUUCCUCACUACUGGAUGUAUAGUUGACAAUAAGUACUUUUUUUGAAAUAUCCUUCUAGAUGUUCUGAAGUGCCUGAUAUAUGUUAAAAGUCGAGAUAGUAAAAAGACAUUUUGUAAAUGCCUUUUUGUUAAAAUUCAUAUGAAAUGUUGGGGGGCGAGUGGUGGCCAGACCACGUGUUUUGUGCCUGGUUGGAGGUCAGGGGUGGUGGGGGCGAGGGGAGGGAAGUGCAGACCUCUGUGCCAGUGGGUUAUAGUGAGGCAAGAUUAACCAUUGUCUUUUCUGUUAGUGCAUUUUGUUUCUCUUUGCUAUAGUGUAUAUAAUGGACAAAUGAAUCCUAAUUUACAACAUCUAGUCUUUCUAGAUGUUAAAGAGGUUGCCACUAUAUGACAAAAAUAGAGUUAGUAAGCAAUAUAUUUUGUGCAUUUUGUGUUAAACGUUUCUAGGAAAGAUUGUCUUCGGAAAAUUUGAGCAUUAUAGCCCCCUGGGUAUGGUGGAGAGGGGAGAGAAGGGAAGGAUCUUAGGCUACAAUACUCAUAUUUUGAAGACAAUUUCAGAUUAUAACCAUUACAUAUGGCAGUUUAUUCAAGACUGCUCUGUAUAUAGUGGACAAAUUAAGUCCUUAUUUAAACUUCUAGUCCACCUAGAUGUUUAGAAGUGCCCCAUGUAUGUUAAAUGUAGAGGUAGUGAAAUAUCACUUUGCCCAAAUUUAUAGGAAUUGGGAAUGUUAAUGUCUUUGGGAAUGUUAAAUGUUAAACCAGCUCUGUGAGCAGUAUACUGUUGUCUUCACUUGUUCAGUGGUUUGAAGGAGGUGGGAGGGUAAGAAUUAUAAAAGGUAACAAUAAACUGUGGAAAAUUCUGAGAGAGACGGGAAUACCAGACCACCUCACCUGCCUCUUGAGAAAUCUGUAUG